rnacentral:rRNA from 1 species
GACGAACGCUGGCGGCGUGCCUAAUACAUGCAAGUCGAACGCAGUGGGGACGGGUGCGUAACACGUGGGUAACCUCCCAUCAGAGUGGAUAACACUUGGAUACAGGUGCUAAACCGAUACUGAUGGAUGGACCCGCGGUGCAUUAGCUAGUUGGUGAGGUAAGGGCUCACCAAGGCAACGAUGCAUAGCGGACCAGGGAGGGUGAUAGGCAAAACUGGGACUGCAACACGGCCCAGAAUCCUACGGGAGGCAGGAGGAGGGAAGCAUGGGAAAUGGACGAAAGGCUGACCGAGCAACGGAGCGUGAGUGAAGAAGGGUUUCGGAGAGUAAAACUCUGUUGUUAGAGAAGCGGUAGCUACCCAGAAAGCCACGGCUAACUUCGUGCCAGCAGCCGCGGUAAUAC